CUACGCUCAACUCCUGUUUUAAGGAAGAAAGAGACUUAAAAGCAUCCCCAUUUUUAAACAUGCUUCUACUCUCGCCUCCUUUUUGUAUAAUCGCGCACCGAACAAGAUCUACUCACAGCAAGUUCCCUCUUCCAUCAUUUCCCUGGGCUUUGAUCCUGCAGUCCAAUCUACGUGGGCACACUACUAUACCUACUUGAAGGCCUAUUGCAGUAUUACUG